rnacentral:rRNA from 1 species
GUGCCAGCAGCCGCGGUAAUACCUGCAGCUCAAGUGGUGGCCGCUAUUAUUGGGCCUAAAACGUCCGUAGCCGGUUUCAUAAAUGCCUGGGUAAAUCGUACGGCUUAACCGUAUGAAUUCCGGGUAGACUGUUUAACUUGAGACCGGGAGAGGCUAGAGGUACUCCUGGGGUAGAGGUGAAAUUCUGUAAUCCUAGGGGGACCACCAGUGGCGAAGGCGUCUAGCUAGAACGGGUCUGACGGUGAGGGACGAAGCCCUGGGGAGCAAACGGGAUUAGAAACCCUCGUAGUCC